UGUCAUGUGGGCUCAGGAUUCAGGUUUUUUUUUCCUCUUUUAGAGGCUCAAGCCUUAUUCUGAGCCACCCUGACACUGAACAACAAGAACUGAUAAUAAAACAGGCCACACUCUGUGAAAUCUCAGCUGCGGGCAGAAAGCUUUCGGCAUAAGGAGUGGGAAUGACAGAAAUCAGCUACAUGAAGCUCAGGUCAGCAAGCUCAAUUGUUUGAGGCUGUGCUGAGGCAGAAUAUCCAAGCUGGGAGAAUGCUGUGAAGCAACUCUGUUCAUUUUAUGGAUGCCUGGAAGCAGAAAGUACAAAAGAAAGAAAGAAAAAGGCAGGGAACAAGAUACGCCCUUCCAGGGAAUGUCUUCAGUGUUCUACUUCCUUGGCUGUGGCCCAUGUUCUAGUUUCUACCGCCUCCCAACAAGGCCAUCAAAUUAUGACUCCAUUAGCUGAUCAAUGCACUGGCAAGGUCAGAGUCCUGAUGAACCAAAAACCCAGGCCUCCAAUGCAUACGCCUGUGAGGGAUAUUUCAUAUUCAAGUAACAGCAUGGCAAAGGUAAAAGGAUGGCAUCUUAAUGUGAUCAAGAAGCGUUUUCCUACUGUUAAUGGGCUUAAUAGGAUAAAGUUAUUUAAAAUGUAAUUAUAAUGCUGUAAUUAUAGGGAAUUUGGUGAGGAUUUAACAUGUUAAAAUAACCAUUAUCAACUCACUUCAGUUAUAUACUGCCUGUUAUCACAUUUGUAACACAUUCUCAUGUUCAUAUUCCUACCUGCAUAUGUACCAUUUCCAUGAAUUUGGCAUCAUUGUAACAGAAUUGUGUAUCUUAAUGUUGUUUACUGUAUUGUGAGUAUAAUGCUUUCCUUUUGAGGUCUCUGAACAUGGGAUUUUUAAUGGCCACAUAAUUAUUCACUCUGUAACUGUAGUAUAUACCAUACAUUAUUCAAGAUCUUCUAUGGCAGACAAUAUGUGUCUUACUGUGUUUCACUUAAUAGUGACAGUAUCACUAAGAAAUAUGUACUGAAUAUUGCCUCACAGGUCACUUUCUGCCUCUGUCCUGUAUUUGUUCUUUUUCCCCAUUGAGGAUGCUUUAUGAGGACUCUGCAUACCCGUCUUUGUCUCUGAGGAAGCUUCUUACCCAAUCUGUAAUGGGGUAACAUGGUAAUGCUAACAAAAUUACACACUCAUGCCCCAUAAGCCAGCUAUCCCAAUUCUACAGACACAGUGAGGUUAUAAAGAUACAUAUAUCAGGACAUUAUUUGCAGCCCAUCUGUAAUAGUAAAAAUACUGGAAAAAUAAAAAUUCAUACUGGCAAUUCAAA